AAUAGAUACCCAGGUAGUCCAUGCCGUAAACGUUGGGAACUAGAUGUGGGGACCAUUCCACGGUCUCCGUGUCGCAGCUAACGCAUUAAGUUCCCCGCCUGGGGAGUACGGCCGCAAGGCUAAAACUCAAAGGAAUUGACGGGGGCCCGCACAAGCGGCGGAGCAUGCGGAUUAAUUCGAUGCAACGCGAAGAACCUUACCAAGGCUUGACAUAUACGAGAACGCCGUAGAAAUACGGAACUCUUUGGACACUCGUAUACAGGUGGUGCAUGGUUGUCGUCAGCUCGUGUCGUGAGAUGUUGGGUUAAGUCCCGCAACGAGCGCAACCCUCGUCGUAUGUUGCCAGCACGUAAUGGUGGGAACUCAUAUGAGACUGCCGGGGUCAACUCGGAGGAAGGUGGGGAUGAGGUCAAAUCAUCAUGCCCCUUAUGUCUUGGGCUUCACGCAUGCUACAAUGGCCGGUACAAAGGGCUGCAAUACCGCGAGGUGGAGCGAAUCCCAAAAAGCCGGUCUCAGUUCGGAUUGAGGUCUGCAAC
rnacentral:rRNA from 1 species